UGGGGAAUAUUGGACAAUGGGCGAAAGCCUGAUCCAGCCAUGCCGCGUGUGUGAAGAAGGUCUUCGGAUUGUAAUGCACUUUAAGUUGGGAGGAAGGGCAGUAAGCGAAUACCUUGCUGUUUUGACGUUACCGACAGAAUAAGCACCGGCUAACUCUGUGCCAGCAGCCGCGGUAAUACAGAGGGUGCAAGCGUUAAUCGGAAUUACUGGGCGUAAAGCGCGCGUAGGUGGUUCGUUAAGUUGAAUGUGAAAGCCCCGGGCUCAACCUGGGAACUGCAUCCAAAACUGGCGAGCUAGAGUAGGGCAGAGGGUGGUGGAAUUUCCUGUGUAGCGGUGAAAUGCGUAGAUAUAGGAAGGAACACCAGUGGCGAAGGCGACCACCUGGGCUCAUACUGACACUGAGGUGCGAAAGCGUGGGGAGCAAACAGGA
rnacentral:rRNA from 1 species